rnacentral:rRNA from 1 species
UAAAGCUCUGUUAUUAGGGAAGAACAAGUACCGUUUGAAUAAGGCGGUACCUUGACGGUACCUAACGAGAAAGCCACGGCUAACUACGUGCCAGCAGCCGCGGUAAUACGUAGGUGGCAAGCGUUGUCCGGAAUUAUUGGGCGUAAAGCGCGCGCAGGCGGUCCUUUAAGUCUGAUGUGAAAGCCCACGGCUCAACCGUGGAGGGUCAUUGGAAACUGGGGGACUUGAGUACAGAAGAGGAGAGUGGAAUUCCACGUGUAGCGGUGAAAUGCGUAGAGAUGUGGAGGAACACCAGUGGCGAAGGCGGCUCUCUGGUCUGUAACUGACGCUGAGGCGCGAAAGCGUGGGUAGCGAACAGGAUUAGAUACCCUGGUAGUCCACGCCGUAAACGAUGAGUGCUAAGUGUUAGAGGGUUUCCGCCCUUUAGUGCUGCAGCAAACGCAUUAAGCACUCCGCCUGGGGAGUACGGCCGCAAGGCUGAAACUCAAAGGAAUUGACGGGGGCCCGCACAAGCGGUGGAGCAUGUGGUUUAAUUCGAAGCAACGCGAAGAACCUUACCAGGUCUUGACAUCCUCUGCCACUCCUAGAGAUAGGACGUUCCCCUUCGGGGGACAGAGUGA